rnacentral:lncRNA from 1 species
GCCUCACAAUUUCUCAUGCAGUGAAAUAUCAUCUAUGUCCAUCUUAUUGCUAGUUUUAGUUAACAACAACGGCCAAAGCACUAUGUUUUGUCAGAGUAGGUUUUACAUGUUCUAAAUGCUGAUUGGAUGAAUUGGUGGUGUGACACCACGCUGAGGAACCGUUUUACUCUAAGUCCAAAAUCGAACACAUGUAUUGAGUUAUCCAUUACGAUAUUAUUUUCGUUGCAAUUUUAGAAAUUACUUUGAAAAAACUAU